GUAUACACGUACGAGCACGCACAUAGAUGCGAUCGCGUAUCGGUUCUCUCCCUGUUUCUCUUGCUCUUUUCUCCAUUUUCCUCUGUCGAGCGAGCUUUCGCUAGCUCCGUACGUACGAACGUGCGGCUUAACCGACAUCGUAAUCUUCAUCCCAGAAGCAGACCUGUGUUUUCCUGCCGUUUUCCAAACAGUGGAAUAGUUUCAAAGUUGCGAAUCGUGCCUGGUCCAUCUUCCGACGAUGAUGCGACAGUGAUACAAGCGAUAAUCGAUGAUCGCCAAAUGCGAUUACGAGAUCCGUUACGAGUGAGCUCUCUUGACCAAUCGCGGAUGGAUCACGAGUCUUGGGGACAAUUCAAACCGUACAAGUGCAAUCAGUGCGCGACAUUCCGUGAAUGUAACUGCAAUUUCGAAACUGGAAGAUAUUCUCCUCGUAUACGAUAAUAAAUAGUUGCGUUCUUCGUGAUCAGUAGUGUAUACGGGCACCGAUGUAGGUGCGACACGUUGUAGAAAACGAGAAUCGAUAAGUCAACAGCGAAAUGGAACCGAUCGUUGAAACGCCGAACCCGACCACUAAACGAUUUAUCGAAAUCGCGAUGAGGUAGUGCUUAACGGAUAACGCGCGUGUGGGUGACUGUAGUGCACAUAUAAGGGAAACUUUGAACAGUUUCCCGCGGAAGAUCUACACCGGAUCUUCGGGCGAAAUUUCAACACACGACCGUCACAUGUUUGGGAUCCGAUCGACUACGUUUAACGAGCCAAGACCUGGAGGCCACAGAGAGAAUCGAACAUCUCCGAAGGACGCAGAUGCCCCGAAGGAAACAGCACGCUCCACAACGUAUGAAAUGUAAGUAGUGGUCUCCGAUCGUUUGAAAAGCGAGCGGCCCGCAGCCGCCGCACCGGACGGGAGACAUGCGCAGCAAGCAGCAGCCGAGGCCUUCCUUUCGGUGGCCGCAGCAACGCGGCGAUAAUCUUACCGGUAAAUAUCCCAACCACACGCAACGCAUCAGCACGCACGAGAGCACGCACACGCACACGCAUCCACCUUACUUGCACGUA